CAAUAGCGUAUAUUAAAGUUGUUGCGGUUAAAAGCUCGUAGUUGGAUUUCUGUCGAAGACGGCCGGUCCGCUCUAUGAGCGUGUAUCUGGUUCGGCUUUGGCAUCCUCGUGGGGAACGUAACUGUGCUUGAUUGCAUGGUGCGGAAUUCACGACUUUUACUUUGAGGAAAUUAGAGUGUUCACGGCAGGCAAGCGCCUUGAAUACAUUAGCAUGGAAUAAUAAUAUAGGACUUUGGUUCUAUUUUGUUGGUUUCUAGAACUAAAGUAAUGAUUAAUAGGGAUAAUUGGGGGCAUUCGUAUUUAACUGUCAGAGGUGAAAUUCUUGGAUUUGUUAAAGACGAACGACUGCGAAAGCAUUUGCCAAGGAUGUUUUCAUUGAUCAAGAACGAAAGUUAGGGGAUCGAAGACGAUCAGAUACCAU
rnacentral:rRNA from 1 species